AUACUUAAUUCUCAAAGUUCUUACCAAAUGAGUACUAUAUAAAGAACUUGAACAUUGUUAUGCAUAUUGCAAGAACAAAAGAAAAUAGAGUUGUAAGAAAAUCUUCAAACAAAAAUGGCGAAGCUCAUUUGGCAAUCUCUUCUAUCGGGACUUUUUUGCAUUGCGUUGGUCAUGGUUUCAGGAGCAACACUGGAUUCCCAAGACAAUUCUGUUUAUAAAUGCAUUGCGGCAUGCGACAAUAAUUGUGUCCAAACGUGCAGAACUGAGGGAUUUAAUAGUGGAGCUUGUUACGCAAUGUUUUGUUGUUGUUUCAAUAAAGGCAUGUAGAAUUAUGUAAUCAAGAGCAAUGGAGCAUUUGAUCAGUCACAAAUGAAUAGAAUAUAUGGGAAGCUAAAAUAAAUAAACAAUUAUGCAAUUUGAAUAUUAUGUAUUGUAGUAAUAGUUAAGUGAAGUAUCAAUAAAGUGAUCAACAUUAUCAUAGUUUGAAUGCAUAUUAGAACGAGUAUCUACACAUCAGAAUCAAAAGCUAAGGGAUAGUCUUGACACUUUUUUUUUGGUCGGUUUGUAUUUUUUUGGAGUUUUCUUGUUUUUUCUCUGUGUUCCAUCCUAAAUUUUACACUUGAUUGGAUUGUAAUUUCCAAUGUUCUGAGUUUAGUCUUAUUAUUUUGUCUAUUAAGCAUAUAUUAUUUUCUUUUUCUAA